rnacentral:rRNA from 1 species
GAUGAACGCUGGCGGCGUGCCUAACACAUGCAAGUCGAACGAAGCUCCUUUGCGGAAUCCUUCGGGAGGAAGGAAAGGAAGACUGAGUGGCGGACGGGUGAGUAACGCGUGGGUAAUCUGCCCUGUACAGGGGGACAACAGUUAGAAAUGACUGCUAAUACCGCAUGAGCGCACGGUACCGCAUGGUAUUGUGUGAAAAACCGAGGUGGUACAGGAUGAGCCCGCGUCUGAUUAGUUAGUUGGCAGGGUAACGGCCUACCAAGACGACGAUCAGUAGCCGGCCUGAGAGGGUGAACGGCCACAUUGGGACUGAGACACGGCCCAGACUCC